rnacentral:rRNA from 1 species
AGAGUUUGAUCCUGGCUCAGGACGAACGCUGGCGGCACGCUUAACACAUGCAAGUCGAACGAGAGAAGAGGAGCUUGCUUUUCUGAUCUAGUGGCGGACGGGUGAGUAACACGUGAGCAAUCUGCCUUUCAGAGGGGGAUACCGAUUGGAAACGAUCGUUAAUACCGCAUAACAUAAUUGAACCGCAUGAUUUGAUUAUCAAAGAUUUAUCGCUGAAAGAUGAGCUCGCGUCUGACUAGCUAGUUGGUAAGGUAACGGCUUACCAAGGCGACGAUCAGUAGCCGGACUGAGAGGUUGAUCGGCCACAUUGGGACUGAGACACGGCCCAGACUCCUACGGGAGGCAGCAGUGGGGAAUAUUGCACAAUGGAGGAAACUCUGAUGCAGCGAUGCCGCGUGAGGGAAGAAGGUUUUAGGAUUGUAAACCUCUGUCUUCAGGGACGAAAAAAGACGGUACCUGAGGAGGAAGCUCCGGCUAACUACGUGCCAGCAGCCGCGGUAAUACGUAGGGAGCGAGCGUUGUCCGGAAUUACUGGGUGUAAAGGGAGCGUAGGCGGGAUCGCAAGUCAGAUGUGAAAACUAUGGGCUUAACCCAUAAACUGCAUUUGAAACUGUGUUCUUGAGUGAAGUAGAGGUAAGCGGAAUUCCUAGUGUAGCGGUGAAAUGCGUAGAUAUUAGGAGGAACAUCAGUGGCGAAGGCGGCUUACUGGGCUUUAACUGACGCUGAGGCUCGAAAGCGUGGGGAGCAAACAGGAUUAGAUACCCUGGUAGUCCACGCCGUAAACGAUGAUUACUAGGUGUGGGGGGACUGACCCCUUCCGUGCCGCAGCAAACGCAAUAAGUAAUCCACCUGGGGAGUACGACCGCAAGGUUGAAACUCAAAGGAAUUGACGGGGGCCCGCACAAGCAGUGGAGUAUGUGGAUUAAUUCGAAGCAACGCGAAGAACCUUACCAGGUCUUGACAUCGUAUGCAUAGCUCAGAGAUGAGUGAAAUCUCUUCGGAGACAUAUAGACAGGUGGUGCAUGGUUGUCGUCAGCUCGUGUCGUGAGAUGUUGGGUUAAGUCCCGCAACGAGCGCAACCCUUACUGUUAGUUGCUACGCAAGAGCACUCUAGCAGGACUGCCGUUGACAAAACGGAGGAAGGUGGGGAUGACGUCAAAUCAUCAUGCCCCUUAUGACCUGGGCCUCACACGUACUACAAUGGCUGUCAACAGAGGGAAGCAAAGCCGCGAGGUGGAGCGAACCCCUAAAAGCAGUCUUAGUUCGGAUUGUAGGCUGCAACCCGCCUACAUGAAGUCGGAAUUGCUAGUAAUCGCAGAUCAGCAUGCUGCGGUGAAUACGUUCCCGGGCCUUGUACACACCGCCCGUCACGCCAUGGGAGUCGGUAACACCCGAAGCCUGUAGUCUAACCGCAAGGAGGACGCAGUCGAAGGUGGGAUUGAUGACUGGGGUGAAGUCGAAACAAGGUA